GAGAUGAUCUUGGCAGAUUAGAAAUAUCUGGAAUAUAAGAUUUUGAUUAAUGAAGCCGCAUUCAAGGUCCAAUUCCAGAAGAACCUACAUGCUGAAGAAGCUGAAAAAGAUUUUCAUGUGCUCUGACUGGGGACUCAGUGUGUAUCUGACUUCCCUGAACUAUCUACAUCUUCAUGAGAUCCUUUUCUAGAUAAUUUUAGAGGAUGUUCCUUUCACUUUCUGCCAUGAUUGUGAGGCCGCCCCAGCCAUGUGGAACUGUGAGUCCAUUAAACAUCUUCUUUUAAAUAAAUUACCCAGUUUUGCAUAUGUCUUUAUCAGGAGUGUGAAAAUGGACUAACACACUGGGAUUAGCCUCAUGUCUUAAAGACAAAUAUUAGUCAGGUUGACAACUUAUUAUUUUUGAUAGGACCUGUCAGCUCUAUAAUCAACAAAAGCAUAAACUUCAGGUCUGUAAUUCUCAGCUCUAUAAUCUGACAGAACCUGUCAGCUCUGAAUCAACAAAAAUGUAAACUUCAGGUAAAAAAAUAAAUUCCUCCAAACCAAAGCUUACUAGCUUUCAGACAAAAAUACAAAACCUUUAGGAUUAUACAAACACAUUUUUUUAAAGAAAUAAACUUUUAAACACAUUCAGGCUAUUUGAAGAUAAAAGAACAGUUUUUUAUGAGCAAAUGAUGAAAGUGCACGAAGAGCCUCAGGUAUUUUGCAAUAGCCAUUUGGAGAUCUCAUUAAAAUUUGAAAGCAUCUUGAAGAGAACGACUUUAAAAUAAGAAGGGUUGGCUGAGCUUGAGUGAGGUGAGUCACACCUGGAAGCAAGGAGCUGCUGGGGGUUCUUCCCCAGGUGGUGGCAUAUAGACUGAUAGGAGUCAGUAGGUUACAUCAUCUCAAUCCAGUUACUGAUUUUUAUUAUAAGCCCUUUGAAAGCAUACUCAUGCUUUCAUUUAUAAAGGCACAAACCCAGUGCAAUCAACCCUUUAAAAAUCUUUCACAUGGCUUCCACAUAUGCCUUAGAUUUGAAAGCAUUUUUAUUCUGUCCCAGAAUCAGAAGGUUAAAUAGGUCAGUGAUAGAAUAUCCAGUCUGAUAAUUAUGUAUUGACUUGUGGGAUAACUUUUACCUCCAUCUAAGGUAAUUUCAUUUUUAUAUAGUAUCAUGGACUUACUGAGAUUUAUAGGAGUAAAGACCAGGCUUUACUAAGUAUCUUAAAUGUUAUUUGGCUUCUUUUCAAUAGAAAUAGCAUAAGCUAUCCUUAAAAUAGGAUCUUCGAUAAAAAUUCCAGGUAGUUGAAGAUGAAGAUGCUGAAAUAAAACUAAGAGCAGGAAUAAAUAAAAUGUAAAAUGAACAAACCAACACGGAAGAUCAAAGUUUGUUCUUCAAAAAUAAUGAAUAAAUUAAAUAAAUUACUGACAUGAUUUAUUUAAAAACUUGUUUAAUUGAUAAAAAGAGUAAAUAUUAGUAAAAUCAUGAAUACAAAAAUGAUCAUUGAUGACACAAACAUUUUAAAUGAUGUCUGUAUCUUUAUUCUCAGUUGACAUUAAUACAAUUGGUCGUCAAAUUAAGUAAUGAAUUAUAAAAUUGAUACAAGUAAACACAAGACUUAAGAAACAUAAAUUUACAGUUAAGAGAGGAAGAAAUAGCAAAAGUUACUAUGCAAUUUAAAAAUUGACAGUUCUUGAAUGUUUACAUAACUUUGAAAUUCCAAAUUUCUAAAAUUUCUAAAAAUACGUUCCUUGGAAGAUAUACUAAAAAAUGUUAAGUAAUUCACUUUAUAAGGAAAAUGCAGUUCUUAAUUCAAAUAUGAAAUGACUAUCAAAUUAUAAAUGUUAAAAAAGGACAUUUAUAGGCGAGUUAAAAAGUUAUCCAGUAGAUCAACAAUACAAUCAAAUAGGGGUACUUCAGCAAAGUGGUGCUUCUAUGUUGCAAAAAUACCACUCAUCAGAUUAAUAUGAAAGAAAACAAAAGCCCACAAAGUAAGCUCAAUAAAUUCUGGGAAGGUAUUCAAUAAAAUUUACCAUUGAUUAAAACUACUAAAGUAUACAAGAUAGUUCUUAAUUGUCUACAUGUAGAAUAGAGAAAUACUACAUUCACUUUAGAAAUUUGAAAAUUAUUUUCUUAAACUAGAAGUAGGAUAAAGAUAUGCCUUAUCAUUGUUGCUAUUUAAAAUAACAUUUGAAGUGGUGACAAUGGCUAUUUGAUGUAAAAACAAAACCAGGUAAUAAAAAGGAUGAAAAUAGUUUAGAAAUAAUUUUAUUAUAAAAAUACAUAUAAAUAAAUUAGAAAAGUCAAAGAAAUUUUGUAAAUAUCUAACACUAUUAGAAUUAACAAAUUAAUUUGCAAAUUUUAUAAUAUAAAGUCCCAAAACUAUUGCAUAUAAAUUACUAUCUAUUACUUAUUUUCAUAUGUAAAGUUAAAAAUAUUAAGUAUGUGGGUAUUAAUCUCAGGACCUAAAGGAUUAUUCAAAGAAAAACUGUAAGCCCCAAAUGAGGAAAAUAGAGUCUAAAUGGAUAGUUUAAAGGCCAGCUGGCUCAAGUGGCUUGUAGUCCUACCUCCUGAAACCCAUUCACAUAUGACUUCAGACUUUCCUUAUCUUUUAAAUGGACUUUCCAGCAAUAUCAGCUUUUGAUUCUUGGUUUCUGUUAUAAAUGGAAACUUUAGGAUCUUAUCUAAAUAAAACUUUUUGGUAAUUAUAAGCAAUGUUCUUAUGUUUCUUUACUCUUUUCUCUGAAGAAAAAUGGUAAGGAUUUGACUCUAAAUCAGUUCUACAGACUUUUUGGGUCAUAGGCUACUGAAAGAUGGUAAUUUUUGUAAAGAAAAAGAUUUUUGUGUGUGUGUGAUGGUUAAUUUUAGACAUCAACUUGCCUAGAUUAAGGAAUACCUGGAGAACUGGUAAAGCAUUACUUCUGAGAGUGUGUGUGUGAUAUUUCCAGAGGACACUGGAAGUUGGUGUACUUAGUGAGGAAGAUCCAUCCUCAAUGUGGACAGGGAACAUCCAAUUGGUUUCAAACAGUAAAGGCAAAGACAGCUGAUGUCCUCCCUAUCUCUCUUCUGAAGCUGAGACACCCUUCUCCUGUCCUUGGACAUCAGAAAUCCAGGUUCUUACACCAGUGGCAUUUCUCCUAUCCUAGCCCCCUCUAGCUACUGUCACAUGAGGGAAGGGAAAAAGAUAAGAAACAUUUGUGAAAGUCAUAGCUUAAGGGCAGAGGCCCACUAAAAGGCUGUGAUUUAAUUUUAAGAUUAUAGAUUACUUCUCCCUCAUAUCUUGCAACUAUACCAGUAUGAUUCCAGAAUAAUAGCAGUGCAUUGCUACGUAAUGAGCUAAAAGACACAGACUCUGUUUGAGGAGGUGUUCUUAGAGGAAGCUCAAAGACAACAGGUAAAACAAAAAGGAACACUAGAAGAAUUUGACACCUACAGCUAAAGAAAGCAUUGCUCAUAGCCCAGUUCCUAACCAAAUAAACAUAAAAUACCAUAUUAAAGGCCUACUUAUCUUUCCUGUUACCUGAUACAUCAUGUCUGACUUCCAACAAAAAAUUACAAGUCAUACAAAAGGCAAGAAGAAAAACUGAAGAGACAAAGUAAGCAUCCAAGCACCAGAAUCAGACUCAGAUAUGGCAGAGAUUUUGGAAUUAAUAGAUGGAGACUUUUAAAUUACUAUGAUUAGAAUAUCAAGGGUUCUAAUGAAAAAAGCAGACAACAAGGCAAGAACAGAUGGAUAAUAUAAGCAAAGAGGUAAAAACACUGAUAAAGAAU
ensembl:lncRNA